ACAAAUCAAACACUCUCCUCCAGUCCUCCUACGCUUCUCUCAUCUCUCUGCUCUCCUUCUACGCUUCUGUCUCUUCUCUCGCUUAUUCCAUCUUACUUCUUCUCUUCCAAACCAACCACAAGAAACCCAGCGGCUACUAAACAAAACUUUAAGGAAGACCCAUAAAAGAAGAAACAGAGUUAUUCAAUUCCCUCCCUAGCCAAACCAACCACAAGGUCCACAAGAACCCAAACGGCUGACCCACCAAAGAAGAAGUUGGAUUCUUCAAUUUUAGCUGUUUCACUAUCAACGCAUGAGAUGUAUAAACAUACAAAAGCAUGUGCUUAUAAAAACAAAGUUAUUGACAAUUGGAGUACAUUGAGAUCUUGUGUGGGACGGAUAGAGCUAUUGGUGUUGGUACAAAAUAUAUGGAUGAUGCAGUUGAAGUAAUGACUGAGGAAGGAGAAAAGUGAUGAAUUCUCCUAUGCACAACAACAUGUCAACAUUUGGUAUCGAUAAGUUAUGCAAUUGAGCCUUGCCAAAGAAAAAAGAGUAGAAAAGAUCCACUUCGAAACAAUUUUUUAGUUUGAGAUUUUGAAUGUUGUUAAAGAAAACCCCAUGUAUUUUGGGUACUCUUUUUCUCUCUCUAAAAUAUUUUAGUUGGCAAGAGUUGGCAAAAAAUUGUUUUAGUUGGCUAUGAUGGAAGGUAUUUAGUCAUUAUUUUGUCAAUUGGUCUAACAAUGGCUUCUUUGUUUUGAAUUUUGUGUAAAAAACACAUAUUUUGGAUACUUUAUUGUCUCUCUUGAAAUAGAACUUUUUAGCUAUUAAGAACUUUGAAACAAUUUUUUAGUUUGAGAUUUUAAAUGUUGUGAAAAAACUCAUGCAUUUGGGUUCUCUCUUUAUGUAGAUAUAGAACAUUUUAGUUGUCAA